UCAGGAAGCUGCGUUAUGAGCUCUGGUGUGCGUCUGGCAGCAGCUAUGUGGGUUAUGGAACGAGCCCCAAAUCUUUGUGCUGAAAUCACUGACUGCAGCAUCCCAGGGUGUCGGAGCAGGCGGGGGCUGUCGGCAUCGCUGCGAGGUGUUUUAGUGCCUGCUCCUCCUCUCUGAAGGCCUCACCAAUGCACGUUUUUCAUUGCUCUGAAAAAGCAAACAAACCAAACCCACUAUUUCUGUAAUAAGGAGAGCUUUUGUGAUAUUCCACAGGCUUCCCAAAAGCAGCAUCAGCCACCGGCUGCGUGCAGGGGACAAACAACGUCAACAGCCGCAGAUCCUGGCCAGAGGCUGGAGGCCAGAGAGUGUGGCUCUCUCAGCAUAUUUAUACCAUCCAGCUAACAGUGAGUUCUGCUGAAGUAGCAGUGUUUAGAUGCAACUUUUCACUGCACGUUUCUGCCUGGAUCAGGACCUACCCCACAGCCCAGCCCCUGCCUCCCUCCCUGUCGGCAGGAAAGAAUUGAACAAGUCAGUACCGACCUGAUGCAAAGGUCCUGUGAGUAAUGCAUGGGGAAAAUCAAGCAGCAAGAUUUCAGCUCUCCAAACCGACCAGCUGCUAACCUUGCAGAAAGCACGGAGGUGAGAUUAAACGUGGGAUUGCAUAUUUAACUGCAGCUGCAGAGGCUGGCAGCCUUUGCUCCGGGCCAGCCUGGGUCAGGUUGCCUUGCUAGGGCAGUGGCACUGUCCCUGCUGUCACUGUUCCCAAACAGUCCUCAGGAUUUUGUGUAAGUGAA